rnacentral:rRNA from 1 species
AUUCCAGCUCCAAUAGCGUAUAUUAAUGUUGUUGCAGUUAAGAAGCUCGUAGUUGGAUUUCUGGUCGGAACGCCGGUCCGGCUCCGCAAGGGGUCGUGUAUUGGUUUCUCCUGCCAUCCUCAGGGGGAGCUGCGCUGGUAUUCAUUUAUCGGCGUGGUUACGCCUGUCGUUUACUGUGAACAAAUUAGAGUGUUCAAAGCAAGGUGUACUUGAAUACAUUAGCAUGGAAUAAUAAGAUAGGACUUUGGUGGUUCUUUUUGAUAUUUUGUUGGUUUGCACGCCAAAGUAAUGAUUAAUAGGAGCAGUUGGGGGUAUUCGUAUUCAAUUGUCAGAGGUGAAAUUCUUGGAUUUAUAGAAGACGAACUACUGCGAAAGCAUUUACCAAGGAUGUUUUCAUUG